GCUUCCGUGGUGAAAUGGUAUCAUAAUUGCCUUCCAAGCAAUUGGCUCGGGUUCGAUUCCCGACGGAUGCA
rfam:Pyronema omphalodes CBS 100304, CBS100304, WGS project CATG01000000 data, contig: Pcon_v1_contig1714